rnacentral:rRNA from 1 species
AUUGAACGCUGGCGGCAGGCUUAACACAUGCAAGUCGAGCGGGGUGAUGGUGCUUGCACUAUCACUUAGCGGCGGACGGGUGAGUAAUGCUUAGGAAUCUGCCUAUUAGUGGGGGACAACAUCUCGAAAGGGAUGCUAAUACCGCAUACGUCCUACGGGAGAAAGCAGGGGAUCACUUGCGACCUUGCGCUAAUAGAUGAGCCUAAGUCGGAUUAGCUAGUUGGUGGGGUAAAGGCCUACCAAGGCGACGAUCUGUAGCGGGUCUGAGAGGAUGAUCCGCCACACUGGGACUGAGACACGGCCCAGACUCCUACGGGAGGCAGCAGUGGGGAAUAUUGGACAAUGGGGGGAACCCUGAUCCAGCCAUGCCGCGCGUGUGAAGAAGGCCUUAUGGUUGUAAAGCACUUUAAGCGAGGAGGAGGCUCUUUUGGUUAAUACCCAAGAUGAGUGGACGUUACUCGCAGAAUAAGCACCGGCUAACUCUGUGCCAGCCGCCGCCGUAAGAC